rnacentral:rRNA from 1 species
CCUACGGGAGGCAGCAGUGAGGAAUAUUGGUCAAUGGCCGCAGGGCUGAACCAGCCAAGUCGCGUGAGGGAUGACGGUCCUAUGGAUUGUAAACCUCUUUUGUCAGGGAGCAAAGGGCGCCACGUGUGGCGCUUUGCGAGUACCUGAAGAAAAAGCAUCGGCUAACUCCGUGCCAGCAGCCGCGGUAAUACGGAGGAUGCGAGCGUUAUCCGGAUUUAUUGGGUUUAAAGGGUGCGCAGGCGGAAUGUCAAGUCAGCGGUAAAAUUUCGGGGCUCAACCCCGUCGUGCCGUUGAAACUGGCGUUCUUGAGUGAGCUAGAGGUAUGCGGAAUGCGUGGUGUAGCGGUGAAAUGCAUAGAUAUCACGCAGAACUCCGAUUGCGAAGGCAGCAUACCGGCGCUCAACUGACGCUCAUGCACGAAAGCGUGGGUAUCGAACAGGAUUAGAUACCCUAGUAGUC